UUAAAGGAGAAAUAAUUUAUACAAAAAGCUGUAAAGAGUGGAGAAAGUUGCUAAAGCAAACAGCUGACUAGAAAGUGUUUUUUUAUUAAACGUUUCGUAGAGAAUUUGAGCACGUGAGAUGGCUAAUGCUAGCAGGCCAUAAUGUAUGAUGAAUAAAAAUCAUACAUUGUUGGUGUUUGGGUGUAAUACCGUAAAGUCCGCUAGGGGGUGCUGGCAACGAUGGCGGUAUAGAGUAGGUGAUAAAACAACAGAGGAAGAAUAAAUCCUGACGGUAAAUACACAUCAACCCAUUGUGGAUUGUCUUCCUUAUUCUGGACCACAGAUGUUCACAGACAUGGAAGAGAGGAAGUUAUGCUGUCUGAAGCAGGAAGCAGCCAAGUUUCUGAGCAGAAGUGACCCGGUGAGAGUGAGCCGAUCAGCAGUCUGUGGCAAAACUGCUUCCCGUCUUGGAGGGGGCACUACGGUAAGUGAAAGUCUUGGUGAUGCUCGCCUGAUGGAGGAAGCGAGGAAGGCGAUAAUCAGGUGAGCGGAAGGUGACGUGCGAAGGCCAACUCACGCAAUCACUUUGCGAUCCGGCCCGAACUCGGCCUCGUAGUAUCCGUCUUUGCAGUCCUUGCCCACCAGGCCGUGCGGAUGCGGCCUGUAUGGCUCGUUCUUUGUCACCAAAUAAACACACACUUUACCCCGGCCGCAGUAAUUCAGAAUCUAAGGGGGGAGA